rnacentral:rRNA from 1 species
CAGUAGGGAAUCUUCCACAAUGGGCGAAAGCCUGAUGGAGCAACGCCGCGUGUGUGAUGAAGGGUUUCGGCUCGUAAAACACUGUUGUAAGAGAAGAAUGACAUUGAGAGUAACUGUUCAAUGUGUGACGGUAUCUUACCAGAAAGGAACGGCUAAAUACGCGCCAG